GUAAAAAGAAAAGAAAAUAAUAGAAAAAGGGUGUGGCUUUGGGCAAUCUGCCCAUGUGUGGGCAAAAUAAAAAAUGAAAGCCAUUUUCAAGGCUUUGGCCUUGAGAAGUCCGCCUAUAACCAAGGAGCAAAGAGAAAGGAGAAGAAAGAAGAAAGAAAAAGAAAAGGAAGGAAGGUUCGGCUUGGAGAAGCUAGAGAAAAAUCGAGAGGUUUUUCCUCCCACCACACGCCAUUGUUGAAGUUUAAGGAGAGCUUGGUGGUUUGGCUAAAAGAUUUCAAGAUAAGUAAUACGUUCUAGUGCAUCGCUCAGCACAUUGAGACUUACUUCAACAAAGGUAAGGGCAUCUCUCAGACUUCCAAUCCGAGUCGCUUCGCUGCAUAGAGGUGGUGUUGUGUAAAAUAGUUUGACUUAUAAAGAUUAUCAAUCUAUCGAGAAUGUAUUUGCUAAAGUUUGAGGUUGUGCAAUGAAUACCACUUGUGCUGCUAAAAUUAUUUUGGAGUCAUUAAGUCUAAUUAUUGGUAUCUA